GAUGAACGCUGGCGGCGUGCCUAAUACAUGCCAGUCGAGCGAACGGACGAGAAGCUUGCUUCUCCGAUGUUAGCGGCGGACGGGUGAGUAACACGUGGAUAACCUACCUAUAAGACUGGGAUAACUUCGGGAAACCGUAGCUAAUACCGGAUAAUAUUUUGAACCGCAUGGUUCAAAAGUGAAAGACGGUCUUGCUGUCACUUAUAGAUGGAUCCGCGCUGCAUUAGCUAGUUGGUAAGGUAACGGCUUACCAAGGCAACGAUGCAUAGCAGACCUGAGAGGGUGAUCGGCCACACUGGAACUGAGACACGGUCCAGACUCCUACGGGAGGCAGCAGUAGGGAAUCUUCCGCAAUGGGCGAAAGCCUGACGGAGCAACGCCGCGUGAGUGAUGAAGGUCUUCGGAUCGUAAAACUCUGUUAUUAGGGAAGAACAUAUGUGUAAGUAACUGUGCACAUCUUGACGGUACCUAAUCAGAAAGCCACGGCUAACUACGUG
rnacentral:rRNA from 1 species